rnacentral:rRNA from 1 species
AGAGUUUGAUCCUGGCUCAGGAUGAACGCUAGCGACAGGCCUAACACAUGCAAGUCGAGGGGCAGCAUAAAAAGUAGCAAUACUUUUGGUGGCGACCGGCGCACGGGUGAGUAACGCGUAUGCAACCUGCCUAUAUGAGGGGGAUAACCCGGCGAAAGUCGGACUAAUACCGCAUAAUAUCAUUGGAUGGCAUCAUUUGGUGAUUAAAUAUUAAUAGCAUAUAGAUGGGCAUGCGUCUGAUUAGUUAGUUGGUAAGGUAACGGCUUACCAAGGCAACGAUCAGUAGGGGUUCUGAGAGGAAGGUCCCCCACACUGGUACUGAGACACGGACCAGACUCCUACGGGAGGCAGCAGUGAGGAAUAUUGGUCAAUGGGCGAGAGCCUGAACCAGCCAAGUCGCGUGCAGGAAUACGGCCCUAUGGGUUUUAAACUGCUUUUGUAGGAGAAUAAAAGAGGUUAUGUAUAGCCUAUUGUAGGUAUCCUACGAAUAAGGAUCGGCUAACUCCGUGCCAGCAGCCGCGGUAAUACGGAGGAUUCGAGCGUUAUCCGGAUUAAUUGGGUUUAAAGGGUGCGUAGGCGGGGGAAUAAGUCAGCGGUGAAAGUUUGCAGCUUAACUGUAAAAUUGCCGUUGAAACUGUUUUUCUUGAGUGCAAAUGAGGUAGGCGGAAUGUGUUGUGUAGCGGUGAAAUGCUUAGAUAUGACACAGAACACCGAUUGCGAAGGCAGCUUACUGGGAUGCAACUGACGCUGAGGCACGAAAGUGUGGGUAUCGAACAGGAUUAGAUACCCUGGUAGUCCACACAGUAAACGAUGAUUACUAACUGUUUGCGAUAUACAGUAAGCGGUACAGCGAAAGCGUUAAGUAAUCCACCUGGGGAGUACGACCGCAAGGUUGAAACUCAAAUGAAUUGACGG